AUGUGUGUGAGGCAAAGGAAAAAAUGCCGAUUACAAAACAACAUGAUCUUUUCUCCUUCUCACCAUUCCACUAUCAAUGUCCCCAUUAUUCCACAACGGUUUCUCUUCCCAUUUCUUUCUCAUCCUUUCUCUGUUUCUCUCUCUAUGGAUCUGUCUUCUUCUUAUUUCUUCUCAGAUUCGAUUUCUCACCAUUCCACUAUCAGUGUCUCCAUUAUUCCACAACUGGUAUGUUAUGGACUGUUACGGUGA